CUCCUCAUCCGAACUCACCAUCAACAGGGGAAAAAAAACUUGCACACUCCGAGAGCUCAACUGUGCAUGCACUUUUUUUUUUAUUUGGUGCUUGUAGACGUUAUGGGAAAGUUGUGUCUCUCCCUCUCCCCAUCCCUCCCUCUUUCUCCUUCUCUUCGUCUGUCAUGUGCGUGGGAUGCUCAUGCUUUGCACAGAGCAGCUGUAGCACGCCGAAUAGAGGCUAGAGUGUUAGCGGCAAUUUUAAAGUCCCCCCACCAAAUAAUACGGCUGGGAUAUUUGAAGGGAGCAUACACAAUAUCACGGUACACUCGGACCCCGUUGUUCUUCACCUGGCUGGGACGGCUUCUGGUCUGAUUUGACUCGCCAUUAGGAAUGCUGGAGGAAGGGGGGGCUGCGAGGAACUGCUUGCAGCAGGAAGUAGAGGUCAACACAAGAUUUCUGCAGUUUUGCACGCUAAUGGACCCACAUGAGGUUGGCUGAACCAGAAGUUGCUCAUGACCCCCAAACAAAUGGAAUAAUGACGGGAGUCUCCAUAAGUCAGACACGGAAUACAUUCGGCUGAUCUAAGAGAUAAAUAAGUUAUCCAGAUUAAGAAGAAAGGAGCCAAACUUUCAGCAAGACAGAAGCUUCAAGAUUUAUAAAACUCACAGACUGGAGUAACAGACUCUUUCUGACACUUGAACCUGCAUUGCACUCUUUAUUUCUGUAUUUCUGUCAACUUAUCCUAUAAGAUUGUUCACCAAAUUGACAAAUACUCUCACCAACAGCCUGAAAAUAGUAAUUCUAAUACUUACUGUGCCUUUGUUCUGAUGGGUAUCAUAUUUUCUAUUUUAUUUUUAUUUUUUUUAAUGGAAGAACACUUCCUAAAAUAAGAUGAAGAUAUUCUACACAUUAAAACAUGUAUUUAUUUCAUGUCAGUGAUUGAGUUUAACAAGUAUAUUUUCUGACAGCUAAAUAAAGACUUUUU